CAGGGGCAAUCACUAGGAUCCGAUAAGAAUCUUCUUUAGAAAAUAUACAAAACAAGUCAAGAAAUCUGGUAGGGAUUCUUCGAUUCUUGAACCUUCAAUGCCUAAGUCGACUUUGAGCCCGAGAAUAGAGGUGGAAAAGAGUGGUAGAGCAAGAGGGUUUAAAUGAAACUAGAGAGUUUGGACUGAGUAGGAGCUAGAGCUCUCGUUUGAGAACUGGCAAGGCUCUCUACUGGCAGAGUCUCACUCUAGUAUGAGCCAAGAAUUUAGAAUUUGAAAAAACUUACCUAGAGGAUCCCUGGCUC
rnacentral:lncRNA from 1 species